rnacentral:misc_RNA from 1 species
AUACAUUACUAUCUUGUAAAAUUCCUGUUGGAUAGCUUAUAGUUUAGGCAGUUUGAUGGUUCACUUGAAGCAAAAUGGGGAGUACAAUUACCCUGGUCUUAAAGAUGUGAAUGGUUAUGGAGCUCAUCCAUUUGGAUAAUGAAAGUAUUGACUUAUUUUAUAGAAGGGUACACACUUGUCAUAACGUUAAUGAACUUCCUUUCUAGAAA